UACAGAGGGUGCGAGCGUUAAUCGGAAUUACUGGGCGUAAAGCGUGCGUAGGCGGUUACAUAAGUCGGGUGUGAAAGCCCCGGGCUCAACCUGGGAAUUGCAUUCGAGACUGCGUAGCUAGGGUGCGGAAGAGGGAAGCGGAAUUUCCGGUGUAGCGGUGAAAUGCGUAGAUAUCGGAAGGAACACCAGUGGCGAAAGCGGCUUCCUGGUCCAGCACCGACGUUCAGGCACGAAAGCGUGGGGAGCAAACAGG
rnacentral:rRNA from 1 species